GAUGAAGAACGUAGCGAAAUGCGAUAAGUAGUGUGAAUUGCAGAAUUCAGUGAAUCAUCGAAUCUUUGAACGCACAUUGCGCCCCUUGGUAUUCCAUGGGGCAUGCCUGUUCGAGCGUCAUUUGUACCUUCAAGCUCUGCUUGGUGUUGGGUGUUUGUCUCGCCUCUGCGUGUAGACUCGCCUCAAAACAAUUGGCAGCCGGCGUAUUGAUUUCGGAGCGCAGUACAUCUCGCGCUUUGCACUCAUAACGACGACGUCCAAAAGUACAUUUUUACACUCUUGACCUCGGAUCAGGUAGGGAUACCCGCUGAACUUAAGCAUAUCAAUAACGGAGGA
rnacentral:misc_RNA from 1 species